rnacentral:rRNA from 1 species
AACGCUAGCGGCAGGCUUAACACAUGCAAGUCGAGGGGCAGCGUGGAGUAGCAAUACUCUGACGGCGACCGGCGAAAGGGUGAGUAACGCGUGAGCAACAUGCCCGGUAGUGGAGGAUAGUCAUUGGAAACGAUGCGUAAUACUCCGUAACAACAGGGACCGCAUGAUCCUUGUUUAAUAGAUUUAUUGCUAUCGGAUUGGCUCGCGUACCAUUAGCUAGUUGGCGGGGUAACGGCCCACCAAGGCGACGAUGGUUAGGGGUUCUGAGAGGAAGGUCCCCCACAUUGGAACUGAGACACGGUCCAGACUCCUACGGGAGGCAGCAGUGAGGAAUAUUGGACAAUGGUCGGAAGACUGAUCCAGCCAUGCCGCGUGCAGGAAUAAGGUCCUAUGGAUUGUAAACUGCUUUUGAGAGGGAGCAAUAAGUGUCACGAGUGGCACGAUGAGAGUACCUUUCGAAUAAGCAUCGGCUAACUCCGUGCC